rnacentral:pre_miRNA from 1 species
GUAAGACAUCUGUGUCUGUAUGUUCGACAUGUGGGUGAUGCCUUUUCCAUAGAUGGUGAACCAUCACUCACAUGUCGAACAUACAGACACAGAUGUCUUAC